rnacentral:lncRNA from 1 species
AUGUAUUGCUGCUAUGAAUUGUUUUGUCUAAACGCCAUGGUUUUGUGUUACCUGUUUAUGCAUAUGUUGCAUUAUGACCCGGCAGGCCCGAGCAUGCCUUCGUCAGCGGAACACAACUCGCCGCUGAACCCUCAGCUGCUGUCAGUGGCCCCCAAAGACACCAGACGUCUUCUGGAGGUGUACGUGAAGCGCAGCCUCAGUCUGAACGAUGGACGUCCCGCCACGCCGGUGGAGCGCAGGAAGCCCGAGAAGUGGUCUGGUCUGGCCGAGAAGAACAGACGCGAACGGAAACACUCCAGUGAUAGUUCUAUCCACCUGAUGCCUGACACCCCACAGUUCGAAGCUGUUGUAUCUGAGCCCUUUUCAGGAGCUUCCAUGCCCAGUGACGUCCAGGCGACCGUGAAAAGCAAGACAAAGUGUAAAGAGCCGAAGAAGACCAUUCUGUCCUCUUUUGCUGAAAAGAAGAAACGCAUCAGCAGACACUCCAGCAAUGUCUCGUCCAGUUCUAAACCUGCCGUGGUAGAAAACGAGAUAGCCACCAAUGAACCUCCUGAUCCUACCCAGCCUGAGGGUUCCACUGGGAAAGAGAAGAAGUCCAAAGAUGGUAGCAAGAAAAGCAAAAAGCCCUCCUUGUGGAAAUCUUUCUUGGGUUAUUUUACACAGGGUGGAAGUGAUAAAGAUGAAGGUGACUCAAGUCACACCAAACCCGUGGAUCCCAGACCGGUGGAGCCCCCAACCCCUCCGCCAUCAUGCCUACCACUCCCUGGAACGUUCUCUACGGGAGAAAGUGGACCUGUAAAGCCCAGUAAACCCUUAAAGAGAGCAUUUUCCCGUCGGAAAAUGUCUUUCAGGAAAAAUGCAUCAGAAGGCCAUGAAAAGACGAUGGAGAAGCCCUCAACUCUGGACCUGAGCAACGCAACAAAACCAUAUAUAAAGAGUGUAGAGCACACAAACUCAUAUUAUGAAAAAAUGUCGGACGAGUUUAAGAAGAUAGUUACAGAAGUGAAGGAGACGCCGACCGUAGAAGAAGUUACCUUUCUUCAACCCACAGUGUCAGGUGACAUAGACGCUGCAUGCCUAUCGAAAGAAGAGGUGACAGAAAGGAUCAUACAGCUCAUCAAAGAAGAAGGAGAUGCCAUCAAUUCAAAACUGAAAUAUAGCCCGUCCAUCAGCAACUUCUUCCAGAAACUGACCUACGGCUCCUUCCAGAAUCUGGCAGACCACUACAUGGAAUCAGAGAUUUCAAGUAAGCCGGCCCAGGCAGCGGUGGCGGCCCCGGAGCUGGUGAAGCUCGCCUUCACCCUGGACUUCACCGCUAGAGUCGCCGGCCUCUCCAGGCAAGCAGCUGGCAACGUCAUGGGCUUCGGGAGCCAGUACCUCCAGGACCGCUUCACCCACAUGAGCGAGUCUCACCCGCAGCAGACGGACUGAAAUGAGGACAUGGUUAUCGAGAGCACCUUUGAUGCACUUGGGAAAUAAUCCCAAGACAAACAGAGCCAAAGUGAAGAGUCAAAGUGAAAGGAUCUAAGCCAACUAUGUAGGGAGUUCUAUAGUUCACUUAAUCAUCCACUUAAACCAAGCUAAUGCAGAACUUUCAUCUGUACUAUUUGUCUCUAAAUCUCUAUCUGUAUUUAUUCUGCUUGUAGUUUCAUAAACAGAAAUUAAAUGUCUGACCUUUGUCACUGUGUGUGCUGGCACACACAGCCUUUGAUUGUACACAAAUAAAUAAU